GGUUAAGCGACUAAGCGUACACGGUGGAUGCCCUGGCAGUCAGAGGCGAUGAAGGACGUGCUAAUCUGCGAUAAGCGUCGGUGAGGUGAUAUGAACCGUUAUAACCGGCGAUUUCCGAAUGGGGAAACCCAGUGUGUUUCGACACACUAUCAUUAACUGAAUCCAUAGGUUAAUGAGGCGAACCGGGGGAACUGAAACAUCUAAGUACCCCGAGGAAAAGAAAUCAACCGAGAUUCCCCCAGUAGCGGCGAGCGAACGGGGAGGAGCCCAGAGCCUGAAUCAGUGUGUGUGUUAGUGGAAGCGUCUGGAAAGGCGCGCGAUACAGGGUGACAGCCCCGUACACAAAAAUGCACAUAUUGUGAGCUCGAUGAGUAGGGCGGGACACGUGGUAUCCUGUCUGAAUAUGGGGGGACCAUCCUCCAAGGCUAAAUACUCCUGACUGACCGAUAGUGAACCAGUACCGUGAGGGAAA
rnacentral:rRNA from 1 species